AUUCCCCAAUUGAGGGUCAUCUCUUCAAUUUAUUAUUUUUUGCCACCAGAAAUACAUAAUUUGAAAAUAAAAUAAAAUAUCAUCUGUCUUCUUUUAAUAUCAAAACUUUCCUUGUGAUGAUGAGUAGACUAUUUCUGGGAUAGAGGAGAGUAAAAAUAGAUUCCAGUAAAUUAGUCUAAAUCCCACAGGGAAGGGAGUCAUUUGUUUUUCUUUAGGCAUAUUGGAUACAUUAAUUUAUAGUGUACCCCACAGCUGGAUCUUGUGUUAUGAAUAUGAUACACCCUUCAUUUGUAUUAGGUGCAGUGCUUACAAACCAGGACUUCUUACCAACAUUAAUCCAUGCUGCAGGAUGGAGAUAAAGAUGAGCUUUAUUACUAUAUUCAAAAUGCACUUUGUUAAUAAUGACAAUGGGCAAUACUCUAUCUAUGUCUUCUCUUGAGUGUCAAACUUCAACAUCCCAGCUUCUGAUAAUACAUUCAGGGUAGAAAAUCAUUGGUAGCUUGAAAUGUUUUUGAAUACAUUCCUUAUUUUUUUCUGACAUCACUGCAUUAUUAGUAGCUAUUAAAUAUUUUAUUCAAAUGUUCAGUCAUUUUCAGUUGUGUCCUACUUUGCCACAACCCCAUUUGACCUUUUCUUGGAAAAGAUACUGAAGUGAAUCACCAUUUCCUUCUCCUUCUCCAGUUCAUUUUAUAGAUGAGGAAACUGCCACCAACAAAGUUAUAUGACUUGCCUAGGGUCACAUAGCUACUAAGUAACUGAAAUCAUAUUUGAACUCAAGUCUUUCUGACUCCAGAUCUACCAUCCUUUACUGAUAGUAAACUCUUUCUAAUCAUAAACUUUGGGUAUACAAACGAGGCACGAAACAGUGUCCUCACUACUGCCACAUAAUGCAGUAUAUACCAUACGUGGCUCCUAAGGAUACUUAAGACAAACCUUCAUUAAGGUAAAGUAUCAAAAUAUUGUUUGAAGUCCAUCCCCCAACUAUCCUUCCCAAUAAUAGCUAGUCACGUUUAUAAGGCACAGGGCUGGGACUCUUUUUAUGUUUCGUUGUAACCCUAGUUUACCACAUUGUUUGGAAUUUGGUGCAGAUUAUAAACUCAGGUUAUUUGAUUUCUUGUUUGAAAAUCCAGGACACCACAGUGAAUUUAUUCUUUCCUUCAAAAACAAAUAAUCUUCACUUUCUGUCACUUCAUCAAUUUCCCUUCAUAGAAGUAGGAUAGAGCAUUGAGUCACUUAGUAUCUUUGUGACCAUGGAAAAGUCAGCUAUUUUUCUUGAGCAUCAAUCAGUUACCUCAUCUGUAAAAUGAGACUUACAACUCUGAUAUUUGGUGUCUAAAUUCCCUUCUAGAGGUAUAUCUUCAAUGCAUUUUGUUUAAAUAUAAUAACCUGAGGUAAUGCUCAUAUUCUCAUUAAGUUAAUCUGUAUGUUUAAUCUGCAUUUUCCACUCAUACCACGGAUGGAUACAUAGUAUCAGAUGGGUCCCUAUAUGCUACUUUGGACUUUAGAAAAGAUAGAGCCUCUAAUCUCAUGAAGCCCAGAACCCAUAAAAAUGAGGAAAUAAAGAAUUAAGUCCCUCAACUUGGUUUCUGGGA
ensembl:lncRNA